GAUGAAGAGCGCAGCGAAAUGCGAUAAGUAAUGUGAAUUGCAGAAUUCAGUGAAUCAUCGAAUCUUUGAACGCACAUUGCGCCCUUUGGUAUUCCAAAGUGCAUGCCUGUUCGAGCGUCAUUUGUACCCUCAAGCUUUGCUUGGUGUUGGGCGUCUUGUCUCUAGCUUUGCUGGAGACUCGCCUUAAAGUAAUUGGCAGCCGGCCUACUGGUUUCGGAGCGCAGCACAAGUCGCACUCUCUAUCAGCAAAGGUCUAGCAUCCAUUAAGCCUUUUUUUCAACUUUUGACCUCGGAUCAGGUAGGGAUACCCGCUGAACUUAAGCAUAUCAAUAAGCGGAGGA
rnacentral:misc_RNA from 1 species